UUAAUAAUGAUGACUGCGUACCCUACAAUCUUUGAACAGCUGCUUCUAGUGCAGUGCCAGCCGCACCCCUGAGGCACCAUGGUGAAACCGAAGGUCAGAAUAAAUGGUUUUGGUCAGAUUGGGUGCCUGGUCUGCAGGGCUGCUUUUAACUCUGCCAAAGUGGAUAUUGUCGCCAUCAGUGACCCCUUCAUUGACCUCAACUACAUGGUCUACAUGUUCUAGUAUGAUUCUACCCAUGGCAAAUUCCAUGGCACAGUCAAGGCUGAGAUUGGGAAGCUUGUCAUCAAUGGAAAUCCCAUAACCAUCUUCCAGGAGUGAGAUCCCACCAAAAUCAAAUGGGGUGAGGCAGGCGCUGAGUAUGUUGUGGAGUCCACUGAUGUCUUCACCAUCAUGGAGAAGGCUGGGUCUCACCUACAGGGGGCUGCCAAAAGGGUCAUCAUCUCUGCCCCUUCUGCUGAUGCCCCCAUGUUUGUGAUGGGUGUGAACCACGAGAAGUAUGAAAACAGCCUCAGCAUUGUCAGCAAUGCCUCCUGCACCACCAACUGCUUAGCCCCCUUGGCUAAGGUCAUCCACGAGAGGGACUCAUGACCACAGUCCAUGCCAUCACUGCCACCCAGAAGAGUGUGGAUGGCCCCUCUGGGAAGUUGUGUGAUGGUUGCGGGGCUCUCCAGAAUAUCAUCCCUCCAUCAACUGGUGCAGCCAAGGCUGUGGGCAAGGUCAUCCCUGAGCUGAAUGGGAAGCUUACUGGCAUGGCUUUCCAUGUCCCCACUGCCAACGUGUCGGUCGUGGAUCUCACCUGCCGUCUGGAGAAGGCUGCCAAAUAUGAUAUCAAGAAGGUGGUGAAGCAGACUUCAGAGGGCCCUCUCAAGGGCAUCCUGAGUCACACCGAGCACCAGGUCGUCUCCUCUGACUUCAACAGUGACAGCCAUUCUUCCACCUUUGAUGCUGGGGCUGGCAUUGCCCUCAAUGACCACUUUGUCAAACUCAUUGCCUGGUAUGAU